rnacentral:rRNA from 1 species
GUUGAACGCUGGCGGCAGGCUUAACACAUGCAAGUCGAGCGGGGGAAGGUAGCUUGCUACCGGACCUAGCGGCGGACGGGUGAGUAAUGCUUAGGAAUCUGCCUAUUAGUGGGGGACAACAUCUCGAAAGGGAUGCUAAUACCGCAUACGUCCUACGGGAGAAAGCAGGGGAUCUUCGGACCUUGCGCUAAUAGAUGAGCCUAAGUCGGAUUAGCUAGUUGGUGGGGUAAAGGCCUACCAAGGCGACGAUCUGUAGCGGGUCUGAGAGGAUGAUCCGCCACACUGGGACUGAGACACGGCCCAGACUCCUACGGGAGGCAGCAGUGGGGAAUAUUGGACAAUGGGGGGAA